CACGUAGGGGGGCAAGCGUUGUCCGGAUUUAUUGGGCGUAAAGAGCUCGUAGGUGGCUUAGUAAGUCGGGUGUGAAACCUCCAGGCUCAACCUGGAGACGCCACCCGAUACUGCUAUAGCUUGAGUCCGGUAGGGGAGCGUGGAAUUCCUGGUGUAGCGGUGAAAUGCGCAGAUAUCAGGAGGAACACCAGCGGCGAAGGCGGCGCUCUGGGCCGGUACUGACACUGAGGAGCGAAAGCGUGGGGAGCAAACAGG
rnacentral:rRNA from 1 species